rnacentral:lncRNA from 1 species
AUCCGAGGCUCAAGUUGAGGGAUGUCAGACGAUCUUCCUGUAGGCCUGAUAGGCCUUACCAUCUAGUCGUGUUACUCCACUCAUCAGCUAUACACCACGUCGCCUCACCGUCUCUUUCACAGCCCACUACGCACCGAGCGAGUUUAUGAUCAAUGUCAGAAGUAUUUAUGUAUAUCCUCUACAGUCCGAUAUGAUGGGACACUGCGGAAGUGCCCCCUUGUCCUUUCAACCUUGACUUUAGUCUCUUUCUUUUUCUGGAGGAGCAUUAAUAAAGUUGCGGCACCGAUCCCUAUCUCAUUGAUCGAUUUAGGUACCCUACCGG